rnacentral:ncRNA from 2 species
CUCUUAUUCAGAGUAGGUGGAGGGACUGGCCCGAUGAAACCCGGCAACCGGCAUUUUGUGCACGGUGCUAACUCCUGCAGAGAAAUCUGGGAAAUAAGAG